AGGACGAACGCUGGCGGCGUGCUUAACACAUGCAAGUCGAGCGACGCUCCUCCUUCGGGAGGAUGACGGAGCGGCGAACGGGUGAGUAACACGUGGGCAACCUGCCCCUAGCUCUGGGAUAACCCCGGGAAAUCGGGACUAAUACCGGAUAUGAAGUCGGACGGCAUCUUCUGACUUGGAAAGUUUUUCGGCUAGGGAUGGGCCCGCGGCCUAUCAGCUUGUUGGUGGGGUAACGGCCUACCAAGGCGACGACGGGUAGCCGGCCUGAGAGGGCGACCGGCCACACUGGGACUGAGACACGGCCCAGACUCCUACGGGAGGCAGCAGUGGGGAAUAUUGCACAAUGGGCGAAAGCCUGAUGCAGCGACGCCGCGUGAGGGAUGACUGCCUUCGGGUUGUAAACCUCUUUCAGCAGGGACGAAGCGAAGUGACGGUACCUGCAGAGAAGCACCGGCCAACUACGUGCCAGCAGCCGCGGUAA
rnacentral:rRNA from 1 species